GACGAACGCUGGCGGCGUGCUUAACACAUGCAAGUCGAACGGUGAUUUUUGGAGCUUGCUCCAAGAUGAUCAGUGGCGAACGGGUGAGUAACACGUGAGCAACCUGCCCCAGACUCUGGGAUAACUUCCCGAAAGGGAAGCUAAUACUGGAUAUGAAGCAUCUCCGCAUGGGGGUGUUUGGAAAGUUUUUCGGUCUGGGAUGGGCUCGCGGCCUAUCAGCUUGUUGGUGGGGUAGUGGCCCACCAAGGCGACGACGGGUAGCCGGCCUGAGAGGGCGACCGGCCACACUGGGACUGAGACACGGCCCAGACUCCUACGGGAGGCAGCAGUGGGGAAUAUUGCACAAUGGGCGAAAGCCUGAUGCAGCGACGCCGCGUGAGGGAUGAAGGCCUUCGGGUUGUAAACCUCUUUCAGCAGGGAAGAAGCGAAAGUGACGGUACCUGCAGAAGAAGCACCGGCUAACUACGUGCCAGCCGCCGCAGUAACAC
rnacentral:rRNA from 1 species